UGGGGAAUUUUGGACAAUGGGCGAAAGCCUGAUCCAGCAAUGCCGCGUGUGUGAAGAAGGCCUUCGGGUUGUAAAGCACUUUUGUCCGGAAAGAAAUCCUUGGCUCUAAUACAGUCGGGGGAUGACGGUACCGGAAGAAUAAGCACCGGCUAACUACGUGCCAGCAGCCGCGGUAAUACGUAGGGUGCAAGCGUUAAUCGGAAUUACUGGGCGUAAAGCGUGCGCAGGCGGUUUGCUAAGACCGAUGUGAAAUCCCGGGCUCAACCUGGGAACUGCAUUGGUGACUGGCAGGCUAGAGUAUGGCAGAGGGGGGUAGAAUUCCACGUGUAGCAGUGAAAUGCGUAGAGAUGUGGAGGAAUACCGAUGGCGAAGGCAGCCCCCUGGGCCAAUACUGACGCUCAUGCACGAAAGCGUGGGGAGCAAACAGGAUUAGAUACCCUGGUAGUCCACGCCCUAAAACGAUGUCAACUAGGUUGUUGGGGAUUCAUUUCCUUAGUAACGUAGCUAACGCGUGAAGUUGACCGCCUGGAGAGUACGGUCGCAAGAUUAAAACUCAAAGGAAUUGACGGGG
rnacentral:rRNA from 1 species